GACAGAGGGGGCAAGCGUUGCUCGGAAUUACUGGGCGUAAAGGGCGCGUAGGCGGGAUGGCAAGUCGGUCGUGAAAUCCCUCGGCUCAACCGAGGAACGUCGAUCGAUACUGCUGUUCUUGAGGAUUGCAGAGGAGACUGGAAUUCCCGGUGUAGCGGUGAAAUGUGUAGAGAUCGGGAGGAACACCGGUGGCGAAGGCGGGUCUCUGGGCAAUUCCUGACGCUGAGGCGCGAAAGCGUGGGGAGCAAACCGG
rnacentral:rRNA from 1 species